AUUGAACGCUGGCGGCAGGCCUAACACAUGCAAGUCGAGCGGAGCGGCGGACGGGUGAGUAAUGCCUAGGAAUCUGCCUGGUAGUGGGGGAUAACGUCCGGAAACGGGCGCUAAUACCGCAUACUAUCAGAUUAGCCUAGGUCGGAUUCGGUAGUUGGUGGGGUAAUGGCCUACAAAGGCGACGAUCCGUAACUGGUCUGAGAGGCUGAUCAGUCACCCGGGAACUGGGAAACGGUCCAGACUCCAACGGAAGGCAGCAGUGGGUAAUAUUGGAAAAUGGGCGAAGGCCUGAUCCAGCCAUGCCGCGGAUGUGAAGAAGUUCUUCGGAUUGUAAAGCACUUUAAGUUGGGAGGCGUUACCAACAGAAUAAGCACCGGCUAACUUCGUGCCAGCAGCCGCGGUAAUAC
rnacentral:rRNA from 1 species